AGAGAGAAGGUCAGUUCAAUCCAGUGCUCUGAGUUAUUUUUCACCCAAACACUAAGCUCAUGAUUUUUUUCUCAUACUGAUGCCCAGCUCCUCAACCAAGUCAGCAAAGCGACAGCAUUUGGAUGUGUUGACCAAGGCAGGUCAAGAUGUAGGACUCUCAGCUCCUCCUCCAGCAUGUCUGCCUGCAUGCCUCCAGGUCCCACCAUGAUGAUAAUGGACUGAAUCUCUGAAAAUUUGAGAAUUAGCAGCCAGACCAGCAAAAACUCAGAGCUGGAGUGAAGAACGCCACGGUUCCUGUCCUAGAGCUGCCGACUAGCUGAAGAGUCAUCGGCUUCCCCUGUUGGGUUUCCUGUCU